CCUACGGGUGGCAGCAGUGAGGAAUAUUGGUCAAUGGGCUUACGCCUGAACCAGCCAAGUCGCGUGAGGGAAGACUGCCCUAUGGGUUGUAAACCUCUUUUGUCAGGGAGCAAGUGGCGCUACGUGUAGCGUUAUCGAGAGUACCUGAAGAAAAAGCAGCGGCUAACUCCGUGCCAGCAGCCGCGGAAAUACGGAGGAUGCGAGCGUGAGCCGGAUUUAUGGGGUUGAAAGGGUGCGUAGGCGGAAUGCCAAGUCAGCGGUAAAAUCGCGGGGCUCAACCUCGCUCCGCCGUUGAAACUGGCGUUCUUGAUUGUGCGAGAGGUAUGCGGAAUGCGUGGUGUAGCGG
rnacentral:rRNA from 1 species